rnacentral:rRNA from 1 species
AUUGAACGCUGGCGGCAGGCUUAACACAUGCAAGUCGAACGAGCGGCGGACGGGUGAGUAAUUUAUGGGAAACUGCCUGAUGGAGGGGUAUAACUACUGGAAACGGUAGCUAAUACCGCAUAGCAUCCGAUGUGCACAGAUGGGAUUAGCUAGUAGGUGGGGUAAUGGCGCACAUAGGCGACGAUCCCUAGCUGGUCUGAGAGGAUGACCAGCAACAAGGGAACUGAGACACGGUCCAGACUCCUACGGGAGGCAGCAGUGGGGAAUAUUGCACAAUGGGCGCAAGCCUGAUGCAGCCAUGCCGCGGGUGUGAAGAAGGCUUUCGGGGUGUAAAGCACUUUCAGCGAGGAGGCGUUACUCGCAGAAGAAGCACCGGCUAACUCCGUGCCAGCAGCCGCGGUAAUUC